rnacentral:lncRNA from 1 species
CGUUAAAAACAAACCUAGAGCAAGUGUACUCUAGCGCAGAAGUAGUAUAAAAGAUUAUCGUAUCCACAAGGAUUAAUUAACAAACACCAAACUAGUUAAGAUUAUUUAUUAUUUAAACUAACGAGUAGUUGAAUUGUCAUGAUAAGUAAAGAGAAAAUAAUAAGGUGUAAGAGUAAGAAGAAUAAAAAUGUGAAGUUUGUAAACAAGUAGAGAGAGGCCUAGGGGUCAUGGUUUCACUCGCAAUCAUUGAUUCCC